AUUGAACGCUGGCGGCAUGCUUUACACAUGCAAGUCGGACGAGUGGCGAACGGGUGAGUAAUGUCUGGGAAACUGCCUGAUGGAGGGGGAUAACUACUGGAAACGGUAGCUAAUACCGCAUACCAUCAGAUGUGCCCAGAUGGGAUUAGCUAGUAGGUGGGGUAACGGCUCACCUAGGCGACGAUCCCUAGCUGGUCGUAGAGGAUGACCGGCCACACUGGAACGGAGACACGGUCCAGACUCCUACGGGAGGCAGCAGUGGGGAAUAUUGCCCAAUGGGCGCAAGCCUGAUGCAGCCAGGCCGCGUGUGUGAAGAAGGCCUUCGGGUUGUAAAGCACUUUCAGCGGGGAGGCGUUACCCGCAGAAGAAGCACCGGCUAACUCCGUGCCAGCCGCCGCGGUAAUUC
rnacentral:rRNA from 1 species